AUGGCCAGAUUUCUGUUGGAACCAGUGAGGACAGAGGCCAGUGAUGAGUGCCCCUGCACUGGAGCUGCAGGUCAAGGCUCCCUCUCCCAGGAUGUGGUGACUCAGCCUCCCUCUGUGUCUGCAGCCCUGGGGAGCUCGGCCAGACUCUCCUGCACCCUGAGUAGUGCGUCCAGUCGUUAUGCUGUUGGUUGGCACCAGCAGAGCCCAGGAAAGCCCCCUCGGUACCUCCUGUAUGUUGAUAGCAGUGGAGGUACAGGCAGGGCCGACGGGAUCCCUGAGCGCUUCUCUGGCUCCGGAUCUGGGACUAACCGAUUCCUGUCCAUCAGCAACGUCCAGCCUGAGGAUGAGGCCGAUUAUUUCUGCCAGUCGUAUUACUACUCUGGUGGUAGCUAUCCUUAUACACAGUGA